rfam:Brachypodium distachyon strain Bd21 chromosome 1, whole genome shotgun sequence.
AUUAUACUCCCUCCGUUUCAUAAUUCUUGUCUUAAAUUUGCUCAAAAAUGAAUGUAUCUAUUUCUAAAAAGUGUCUAGAUACAUGUAAGAUUUUGACAAGAAUUAUGUAACGGAGGUAGUAUUAA